rnacentral:lncRNA from 1 species
UCCCCCUUCCUUCUCUCGCCCCUAAGAGAGUCCAACUCUCUAAGCCCCGGGAGCUCCGAGAACAGAGGCCCCGGGAAGAAAAGAAAAGGGGGGUGGGGGGAGUGAUGCUCCCUUGCCUUUCGCACCAGCCUCGUAGCUCCAGCUAGCCCUACCUGGCUCCCGCCCCACACGCCCAGGUAACAGCCUCGAGGGCAACGUGCACGGCCGAGAAUCUGGCGGGGACCCGGCGCUCUUACCUCGGUCUCACAGCCGCGUCCUCUCGGCUGAAGAAGAAAAGCCUCGAGGCCCGAGCGCGCCGGGGAGAAGCGCGUCCGCCCGCGCCGCUCCGGGGGCUCCCUCAGCGCCCCCCCAGCAGCAGCCGCCGCAGCGGCCGCGCCACGGCCCCGAGCCGCCAGCUCCACCUCAUCCUGCGGAGCGGUCGGGGAGGCGGGCGGCCGCGCCGCACCUCUCUGCGCGGAUGAGCUAAUCCACACCCCCAAAAGUGCCGUGGGGGAGGGUGCUGGGGUCCUGGCCGCAAACCUUCGACCCUUUGGCCAAAGCCUAAUCUCUCUCCCUCCCCGACUCAGGCCCCCAAACUCAGCCCCCGGGUCCCCCGGAAUCCUGAGAAAACAAUGUUGUGGGGGAGAACGAGGAGCGGGAAGGCGCGCGCCGCGGCGUGAGCGAGCGGGCGAUCCUGGGCAGCCUUAGCGUGUGAGAGUGCAGGAGGCGCUCCGUCACCCCCCUCCGUCCCCGCCUUCCCUUCUUCCUCCUCCUCUGUCUCCUCCUCCCCCCUCAGGCACACCCCGUCUCCUAGGCCGCAGCAUAGCAACGCAACAUGGCGGCUGCGCAGGCGCCGCCACUCGGCGGCCGGGAGCAGCGACCGCAGUGAGGGGCAGCGGUCUCGCGAGAACCCCUGCCCUGUUCCCGCCGGGAGGAGAGGCUGCGCCCGCGGGAGCGCGGAGGGACACGCAGCUUUGCCAGGCCUCGUCAGGACCCUUCUGGAACGUCACCUGCUGCCAAUGACCUCACCCCCCUUCUGCAAGGUGGCUUGGUCCCAUGCAGCCUCUGAUCUCCAGGCUGAAGUCAUAAGAGUCUCCUCUCAGUUACACUUGCUGUCACCUCCCAACCUCGCCCCAGGAGCCUAGCAACUCCCCUCUGCCUUCUAGCUCCUCUCUGCUCAAAGUGCUUCUGAGGACCCUCAUCAACUGAGAAAUGCAGAAUCUCAGGCCCCACCCCGGACCUACUGAACCUGAAUCGACUUUUUUUACAAGAUUCCCAUGGAACUCCUAAGCAUUCUUGUCCAGAAAUGUCAUCAGAGGCCUCAGAGGCAAUAGCAGGUGCCAAGAAGUCCCACAUCCACCCUCUGCAGGACAAGCUAAGGGAAUGGUGAACUUCCUCUGCCGGCAUUAGCCCUGCACC